rnacentral:rRNA from 1 species
GCGUAACAGCUCACCUGCCGAGCUCGAAAGCCCCGAAAAUUCACGGGGCUCAAGUGGACUACCGAUACUUUAGACCACCGACGAUGUCGGUGCGUGGUAGGUGGGCGUAGUGUUUGGGUAGAAGCUGGGCCGUGAGGUCCAGUGGACCGAACUACUAGUGCAGAUCCUGGUGGUAGUAGCAA